rnacentral:rRNA from 1 species
GCUACGUAAGCUCUCUGAUGCAGUCGAGCGGAACGACACUAACAAUCCUUCGGGUGCGUUAAUGGGCGUCGAGCGGCGGACGGGUGAGUAAUGCCUAGGAAAUUGCCUUGAUGUGGGGGAUAACCAUUGGAAACGAUGGCUAAUACCGCAUAAUGCCUACGGGCCAAAGAGGGGGAUCUUCGGACCUCUCGCGUCAAGAUAUGCCUAGGUGGGAUUAGCUAGUUGGUGAGGUAAUGGCUCACCAAGGCGACGAUCCCUAGCUGGUCUGAGAGGAUGAUCAGCCACACUGGAACUGAGACACGGUCCAGACUCCUACGGGAGGCAGCAGUGGGGAAUAUUGCACAAUGGGCGAAAGCCUGAUGCAGCCAUGCCGCGUGUAUGAAGAAGGCCUUCGGGUUGUAAAGUACUUUCAGUUGUGAGGAAGGGGGUGUAGUUAAUAGCUGCAUCUCUUGACGUUAGCAACAGAAGAAGCACCGGCUAACUCCGUGCCAGCAGCCGCGGUAAUACGGAGGGUGCGAGCGUUAAUCGGAAUUACUGGGCGUAAAGCGCAUGCAGGUGGUUCAUUAAGUCAGAUGUGAAAGCCCGGGGCUCAACCUCGGAACUGCAUUUGAAACUGGUGAACUAGAGUACUGUAGAGGGG